rnacentral:rRNA from 1 species
GACGAACGCUGGCGGCGUGCUUAACACAUGCAAGUCGAACGGAAAGGCCCUGCUUGCAGGGUACUCGAGUGGCGAACGGGUGAGUAACACGUGGGUGAUCUGCCCUGCACUUCGGGAUAAGCCUGGGAAACUGGGUCUAAUACCGGAUAGGAGCCAUUUUUAGUGUGAUGGUUGGAAAGUUUUUUCGGUGUAGGAUGAGCUCGCGGCCUAUCAGCUUGUUGGUGGGGUAAUGGCCUACCAAGGCGGCGACGGGUAGCCGGCCUGAGAGGGUGGACGGCCACAUUGGGACCGGGAUACGGCCCAGACUCCUACGGGAGGCAUCAGUGGGGAAUAUUGCACAAUGGGCGCAAGCCUGAUGCAGCGACGCCGCGUGGGGGAUGACGGCCUUCGGGUUGUAAACUCCUUUCGCUAGGGACGAAGCUUUUUGUGACGGUACCUAGAUAAGAAGCACCGGCUAACUAUGUG